GGAGUAAUAAAUAAAAAUCGGUUGCGCGGUCAUGUGAACAUUCAUUUCUGGAAUAUCGUUGGUGCCACCAAAGUAGAUUUUGUGCUGAGAAUUCAGGUGACCAAAGUUGAUCAAGGAUGAAAUCAAUUAUCGCCCUGCUGGUCAUUGCCGUCGUAUUCUCGACGACGGUCGUGGCGCAGGAUGGAACGGUUCCACCGACUCCGACUCCAUCGCAAGAAUGUUUAGAAACACCAUUUUGUUUCUUGCCUAACAAACCCUGCUUCAACCAGGAACGUAUGUCAUGUGAACCAAGACCCUCAAAAUCCUAAACUCACGAGCCGGAAGGGAGCACUACAUCAUUUUCAAUUCUCUAUGGUGUAUUCUUACGUUUCUUGUAAUUAAUAACAAAUGUAGACAAUCGUUAAUAGACAAUCACUGUAUGCUUAAGCGAUCUUUAGACGAUCAAUAAUAUUGUACAAUGUUAAACACAAAAUAAUACAUACUGUACGCAAAUAA